ncrna:Capitella teleta microRNA cte-mir-137 precursor
GUUGAGUACGGGUAUUCUUGGGUAAAUAAUAUACCAAGAAGGAUGUUAUUGCUUGAGAAUACACGUAGCAAAC